UACGUAGGGUCCGAGCGUUAAUCGGAAUUACUGGGCGUAGAGCGUGCGCAGGCGGUUUUGUAAGCCAGAUGUGAAAUCCCCGGGCUUAACCUGGGAAUGGCAUUUGGGACUGCAAGGCUUGAGUGCGGCAGAGGGGGGUGGAAUUCCACGUGUAGCAGUGAAAUGCGUAGAGAUGUGGAGGAACACCGAUGGCGAAGGCAGCCCCCUGGGUCGACACUGACGCUCAUGCACGAAAGCGUGGGGAGCAAACAGG
rnacentral:rRNA from 1 species